rnacentral:rRNA from 1 species
CAGUAGCCACGGUAACACGUAGGGCGCAAGCGUUGUCCGGAAUUAUUGGGCGUAAAGAGCUCGUAGGCGGUCUGUCGCGUCUGGUGUGAAAUCCCGAGGCUCAACCUCGGGCUUGCAUCGGGUACGGGCAGACUAGAGUGCGGUAGGGGAGACUGGAAUUCCUGGUGUAGCGGUGGAAUGCGCAGAUAUCAGGAGGAACACCGAUGGCGAAGGCAGGUCUCUGGGCCGCAACUGACGCUGAGGAGCGAAAGCAUGGGGAGCGAACAGGAUUAGAUACCCCUGUAGUCCCUGUCUCUUAUAC